UCGCAGCCACAAUGGUGGCACUCUGCCG
rnacentral:sRNA from 1 species